AGUCAGCUUCCGCAAAUGGCUAUAUGUUGUGAUAGUUUGAUAGUUCAGUUCACUUGCGGCGCGCAGGUCACAUAGAACAGAGGACGUCACAAUGAAGUUAUCUGUGGUGUCAGUAAUUAGCCUGCUGUGUCUGCUAGGACUACAGUCUGUGUUAUGUAACUACUAUUCAGCAUACCCAUACUACGGUGCCGAAGGUGGUGAUUCUUCUCUCAACGGGGGAUUCCUAGCUCUGAUUGGACUUUUGUUUAUCAUUUUUGUGUUGUUUGGUGCCCAAAACUCUGGAACGAUAAGAUUUGUAAAUCAAACAGGUUGAUAUGAUACAAAUGACAGGGAGUUCUGUGUUAGGAGUCUGAUAUUUUAUUAUGGUUUUAUUCCCAUGAGACAAGACAAGAUUGUUAUGUAUGCAUAUUAUGUUUGUAACUUUAUUGUAUGAAAAUAAAUGUUCUUUGU